rnacentral:rRNA from 1 species
UACAGAGGUCCCAAGCGUUGUUCGGAUUUACUGGGCGUAAAGGGUGCGUAGGUGGUUGGGUAAGUCUGAUGUGAAAUCUCCGGGCUCAACCCGGAAAUGGCAUUGGAUACUAUUCGACUAGAGGGUUGGAGGGGGACUGGAAUACUUGGGUGUAGCAGUGAAAUGCGUAGAUAUCAAGUGGAACACCAGUGGCGAAGGCGAGUCCCUGGACAACUCCUGACACUGAGGCACGAAAGCUAGGGGAGCAAACAGG